CCAAAUACCCCGCCCAGCUCCCUCAACAGCAGCAAGUCCGUCAUACAAACGAGCCUCCCUUCCUGCCUAAGAUUGGUUAGGCGGUUUUAAUGUCAGUUCAGAUGUUAUUGAUCUACGCAAUUAUCAAAAAAACAUGUGGCUUAUGAAUAUGAGGCAGCCAAUACAUCUGGUAAAAGCAAACGUGACAUGAAAGUGACUUAAAUUACGGUUCUUUACACUAUUAUACAACCAUUAAAAAAUUAUUAAUUUAAUAAAAUUAAUAAAACACAGAACAAAAUAGAUGCCCAAGUUAAUUAAACUUCAAGGCUUUCACAAUAAAAGCAGCUAUAAAAUACUAGUAAUAAAGAAGGUACCCUUGUUAUACAACAUACUUAUCAGUCUACAUGAUCUUUCGUUUCGUUCGUUGGAGUACGAAGUAAAAUAAACAAAUGAGAUCCUUCUCACACAGAUAGUAAAAGAUUUUCACAUUCAUAUUAGAGUGGACUUGAUUAAAACACCAAAUUUUAUAGCACAAUUUUAAGUUGAAUAGACAUAAAUUAUUUUAUAAAUAUUUUAUAAAUUGCUGAUGUGAUAUACUCCACCUCAUCAUAUUGUCAUGUGGAGACGAAGAUUACAUUGAAACAAUUUAUUGAUCAAUAUAAUAAAAUAAAAUAUGUCACAUCAACAAUUUGUAAAAUAUUUAACAUUACUCUUUGUCAAUAUUUAUUAACUUAUAACUAAUUACAUGAUUAAUUUGGAAUAACUUACUCCGCGACAGCAACACAAACACACUUUCGGUGACCUGUAAUAAAUGAUCCUAUAUUUUUAUAUACUAAUAAUUUUUUUUACACAAAAGUAAGACCCAUUUGUUUAUCACGUGAGAGAACUAUGCUGAAAUAUGGUUUCCAUUUUCGUACGAAAACAAAUAAAAGAGGGAUAGAUCAGAAUUUUGACAGAUAGAGAAUGCACAUGCAUGCAUCAUUAGCAGCAUGAAGGUCCAUGGUGGUGCCACGUAUGUUGGGUGAAGAAUUAUGUCACUUUAUUUAUUCCUCUCUCUAUAUAUGUAUAGGCUGUACGUGGCUGAACACUAUACCUUGCUCAUCACUCAGUUGAUGAUUCUUUACUUGACGCAUUCCAUAUUCCCAUCGCCAGCUAAUUAAAGCAGCUACAACUUUAUUAAUUUCUCUCUCUCUCACACAUAUGUAUAUACAUAUAUAGAGAUCGAUCCAGAUCUAGAUAUAUAAGAGAAUUAGAAGGGUGAAAUAUAUAGACACAUAAUAAAUAGUUAUAAUAAUCUAGAGCUAGAGAAAGAGAUCGAUCGAGCUAGCUAGGUAGGUAGUUCGAUGGCAGAUUGGGGUCCAGUGCUAAUAGCUGUGGUGCUGUUCGUGCUAUUGUCGCCGGGGCUGUUGUUUCAGUUGCCGGGGAGGGGAAGAGUGGUGGAGUUUGGGAAUAUGCACACCAGUGGCCUCUCCAUCCUUGUUCACACCAUCAUCUAUUUUGGACUCAUCACCAUCCUCCUCAUUGCAGUCGGCGUUCACAUCCACACCGGCUAGUACCUAGGCUUACCCACAUCCAUCUACCCCCUCUUUAAUUAAUUAUUUAUUUAUUUGAUUUUACUUUUGCUUCUUUUUUUCUUCUUCUGUUUUUUUUGAAAAAAAAAAUUGUUUGUGUUGGUUAUACAUAAGAGGGACCAUUGUUCUUGUGGGAUGUAAUCGCAUGUUUUAUAUAAUUUAAUGUGUUUUAUUCUGUAUAUAACUAUUUUUUUCUAAUUUUCAGCAGACUUCUAUAACAUUAACAUUAUGACAUUGUUAGCUAUCCUAAACAUAGUCCAUCCAUUCCAAAAUUAUCUAAUAUUCAAAGUUUUGAGAGCAACAAAUACAAAUAUAUAUGCAGGCACCAAGCAAAAAUUCACAACAACAAACAUAAAGGGUGGAGUCGUGGCACGAUUAGC
rnacentral:lncRNA from 1 species